rnacentral:tmRNA from 1 species
GGGGGUGAAUGGUCUCGACUUCGGAUGAGACAUCAGGGGAAGCGGGCCGAGGAUGGCUGGGAUGAUCUCGAAAACCAGGCCCAGCAAACCAACAAGCGCCGAUUCCAAUCAGCGCGCCUUCGCUCUCGCUGCCUAAGUAGCGCGAGCAGGCUGUCAGCCCGGGAGUGCCUUCGGCCCGGUGCCUGGCAUCAGCUAGAGGGCUCAACCGCUCGGUCCGGUCGCGGGACCGAGCGGGACAUCUCACAGCGACUGGGCCCGUCGGCAGCUUGCCUGCGGAACUGCCGGGGCCGAGAAACUCAUUAGCGGGCUGCGCCCGGAGAAGCCCUGGUUUCCCACCGAAGGACGCGGGUUCGAUUCCCGCCACCUCCACUA